UCCAGGCUAGCGCCCACAAACAUGGCGGAACGGCCUGGAGGGAGGUUGUUCUGAAUCAUCUCCGCACCCUACCUGACUUUAACCAGUGCUUGCCCAGGCGGUGCCCGAGACCUGGGAGCGCUCCUUCGUGCUCCGAGUACGCAGACACACCGGGCCGCACUUGGUGCUGUUGUGCAGAGUUCUAUGAUUUUCCAGAAUUGACCGGAGGAGCAGAAAGCAUGGAUAUUGUGGAGCUAAAAACCCCGUUUGAGGUGAGGUGAAAUUUUCUUCUGCGAAUUACUUUCUGGUUUAUUUUCCCCUGAAUUGGUGCUUUCUACUUUGUAUUGGUAACCAAGUCUGGUUUGAGAUUUACCGGCGUGAACUGUUAAACUCUCCUUUUACAAUCAGGCAUCCCAUCCCAUGGGCUCUGGGUGGGUUUUAGUAUCUGCGUAUUUGUGAAAUUUAUUUAAAAUUUCUGCAUCUUAAUUUCUUCAUUUAUAAAAUGGAGAGCCUGAUAGCACUCACUGAGAGGUUUGUAAAAAUGACUAAAUUAAUGCAUGGAACACUCUUAGAAUACUGGCACUUAACAAUAUAUUCCAUUUACAUAAGAUGUUACAAUCAUGUGUACAAAGUUGGCUGUGGAUUAAGAAAAAUGAAAAUAUAAAAUUGUGUUGGAUAUUUGCAAAUAAGAA